GGUGCCAUGCUGCUGCGGGAGGAGAGAGCGUGAGCUCCAAAGCCCUGAGCAGAGCGCUGGGAAACGGGAGGCGAGGAAGGCUUGGGCUAAGGAUGGGUUGAAACGGGGCUGGCUGGUAGUGCAUGGACAGACAUUUGUCAUUCACGCUGCCAAAAUGAACACCUGGUACAUCCUAGGUCUUCCUUGUGUUUCAUGUGUUUUUAUUUCAUAUUCAUGUCAUCACAAAAAGCAAGGAUGGAGUAGAUGAGACUGGUCCCCACUAUUGCUGUGUGAAGGCUUUUUACAGGCUACUGUAUUUAUGUUCUCUUUUUUUCACUCCAAGCUUGACUUUGUCCGUCGUUUUCCCAUGUCUGCUGCAUUGGGUGUCCCCGGGAGGGCUGGAUUCCUCGUCAGGGGUCUUAGGAGUUGCUAUUAAUUCUGAUUUUUCUGAAGGUGUAUAGAAGUGUGCUAUUGAAAUAGCUCUUUUCUCUCCUGAAAAGCUUUCCAUCUAUGACCACCCAUGCGUUUUAAUAAUGUAGCCAGUUGCACUAAGGUUUUUACUUUCCAAGCCAAAACCUGUCACAGAUGACUGUUUGCUUUGUGUCUGUGAGAAGUGGCAUUUGUGCUGGAGAGCUGCACCUAGGAAGAAAAGAUGGAUUAAAUGUGCUCUGGGGAUGGAUGGACAUGGAAAGAAACACUUGCACAGAAAGGCAAAGCAGUGAUGAUUCUAGAGGAAAAAUGAGAGGUCUGUGCUGGAGAGUGGGAGAAAGGUCCCUGCUGCUUGCUGUAUCUUCAGCGGGCAGAGAGCUCUGACCUUGGCCGGAUGGGCUGUUGCUGCAUUUCUUGGAUGCUGUGCAGGACAGAAUCAGGCAGCCAAACCUCAGGUCCACCUUCUCCCUGACCCUCUACAUUGAUCGUGUGGCACAGCAGAUCCUGAAGCCAGAGCACGAGUGGAUUCUCAGAUUUCUUGGAGAAGGGCUGCGUGACAAAUAUUGCUAUGAGCUUUAUGACUACCAGAGGGUUUUCUGGGUCAUUCUAUCCUUUCUCAACACUCCUUUGUGUGACAAGGGAUCCCAGUGUCGUAUUCUGGAGAUACUGCAAAGUGCUGCCUGUGUCGCCCGAGCUGCCUAUGAGCUGAUAGAGGAUCACAGCCUCCUCACAUGGGUCAUGAACAGCUUAGAGAAAAGGUUUCUGGAGAACAAGGUGAUAAAUAAAAUUAUUUCCUUACUCCAUACUCUAUGGGUAAUAAAUUUAAGAGACAAGAGAAAACAAGAAUCAAUCCCAGAAGAACAGCAAACUUCUUCUUAAUAAGCUUGUAAAUGAAUUUCUAUGUGUUUUGGUCACGUUAAUCAAACAUAUUUGAAAAUAUUAAGGGCAAGAACAAACCUCAAGCCUCAUCUCCUGUGUAUGGUCACACUUGGAAAUGGAACAAGGUGGGAGAAGAUGACACUGCUGCAGACAUGGAAGGGUCUGAGCUGGAGAAAGCAGAGACCAUCUGAAUUCCAUACUUGCCCAUUGGGACCCUCUUUUCCCAGCACCACCCUCCACACAGAGAGGGGAGACCCUCAGAGCCAGUGAAGGUGGGGGUGAGGCAGUGGCUAUCACCUGUGCAUCCACUCAUGCCUUCACUGAGUAGCUGGUGAGGUCCCUGGCUGAGCAGAGCCCCCUCGGGGAGCAGGACAUGUCACCAGUGCUGAGGUGGCUGCGGAACCGCGUCCUACCACACCCAACAGCUGUGCGGAAGAUGCUCAGGGAUGAGACUGAGGAACGACCUUUUCAAGCUUUACACCCGGCUCUGCCAGGCCAGCAGCACCUCAUCCGGGCUCUCCAGGCAGCUUGGUGGGCUCAGUUCCAUCAAGCUCCAGCUCAUGGAGGAGCAGGUCCUGUCCAGCACCUUCCACAAGCUUGUGAAAUCUCUGUGCCUAUCAGCAAUGGUGGAAGAGGAUGUGCACAAGACAGCUGCUUCUGUAUUCCUGACUUCCCUUCACAUCGGGGACAUGUGGCUUGGAGCACAGGACCCGGAUAUGUCACUUACCUGUGUCAGAUUGGUGGAGGUUGCAAAUUACAGAGUGACUUGGAGACUCAGAAACAAAGGAAAGAAACUGUUAUGUCUCUUAGCAAAAAAAUUUGUCUACAUCAGGGCAUUAAUUCAGGGGACUAACAUUCAUCUUUAAUGUUCUUCUGUGCUCUGCCCUCAUCACCGUGAGCUGUGAAAGCCUCCUGAGCUGCUCUCAUACAGACCUACCUUGUCUGGUCAUAAAAAUCAGUAUUUUAUUCCUGUGUGCAAACUCAGGGGGAAGAUUUUAUUCAACAUCUCUCAGUGGGACAUUAAAGCUCCAAUUUCCCUUUUCUUGAACAGUUUGAGAGACAAUAUUACUUAAGUAAUUUUUAUUACACGCAUUUUUAUCUUUUUGAAAACCAGAAAGACUGUUUGUGUCUGUGUGUGCCCUUAAUAUUCAUCCUCUCUCUAAUACAGGAUGGGAAAAAAUGGUUGCAGAGCUUCAUGCAAUGGGGUAUAAGUGCAAAGAAUGAGGAGACAGAGGUUUAGUCAUGAUGAUUUCUUGGAGAAUCUGGUUGAUUUAAUGAUACCAAAACCAGUAUGAAUAGAAGACUGGGCUUGGGAAUCAGGAUGGUCUUCUUGGGUUAAAAAGGCUUUAACGGCACUUCAAGACACUUAUACCAGACCUGGCUUAUUUUUAUCACCCUUUUUUUUAAAUUAAGAAAAGAAAAAAAAAAAGAAGCCCUGAUCCAUCACUGCUUUUGCUGCAGUGUGCAACAAAACCCCAUCUUACCUCCACUAGGAACAUCUGAGAGAUGGAACUAAACCCCAAAGUAUUUUCUGCUCAGUGAUUAUAGGUGAGUUUUAUUGGGAUACUUUGUUCUUGAAUGUUGCCAUGAGGGUAGUUGAGCAUGGCAGUCCAGGUCUGCAAACACGCAGUGCCGGAAGCAGAACCUUUGAAAUGCAAAACAGGAUUUCUUCAAUUGAAUCACGACUGUGUGCUGUUCCCGAGGUCCUUUGCACAAAUAGUGUACGGGGGGAAAAACCAGAACUGCGCAUUGCUUGUGAUAUGGAAUUUUGGGGGGGUUAAAUAAAAACAAGAUGCAAAUGAGGGCAUUGCUUCUACAUGUAAAUAUUCUUGUCCUAAAGGAGCCACCAGCUCUGUCCUGAGAGUUGAGUUAAAAUUAUAUUUCUUUGUCGCAGACAUUUCUCCACAGAAAUCCUUUCUUUCAGAUUUCUGUGUCUUCGGGAGGCCAGAGGCCUCCAAAGACAAGGUAAACAAUUAUUAUCAGCUGCUGGGGAAUGCAACAGGAGCACCUAUUUUGAUUGGUGAUUGGUUCAUGUUCUAUGUUUAUAAUUAAGGGCCAAUCACCAGUGCAAGCUAGGGGACUGAGUCCUUGAACACAACUUUGUUAUAGAUUCUUUUCUAUCUAUUCUUAGCCUAGCCUAGCUGCUCUGCAAACCUCUCUCCUUAUUCUUUUUAGUAUAACUAUAAUGUAUUAUAUCUUAUAUUAAUAAAUUCAGCCUUCUGAUUCAAGAAAAAAGAUUCACCGUCUCUCUCUCACCAGCUGCGACCCACUCAGGCGCGGUAAUAUUUCUUCAAAAACCCGCAAGCCUUUUAGAGUCUGUUAUUUGUGUUACGAAGAAUUCCUUAGGAGCUGCCAUUAGGGAAUCUGCGAGCCGAAUGUAGCUGAGCUCGGCCAAAUGGCCGAAUCUAGAUGAGUGUAGCCUAAAUGAGCUGAGUGUAGUUGAAGAGCCCAAUCUGGCCGAAAUUUCUGAACCGAGGUGAGUUCAGACAAAAAGCUGAACUGUAAUGGGUUAAAACUUUAAGUUUGUUCAUCAGAGCUGACAAAGUAAUUCCAGUAAGACUGUUGCAACACCUCUAGUUUGUUUAAGUAAAUUUCCAGACUUUAAAGGAUAAGGAAGAUGAAACCAAAAGACAGUAGGUUUCACAAACAUUUGUUUAUCUGUUUAGUAAACUGUUAAUAUGGGUGGGGGGUUUGCUAUGAUUGAUAACACAGUAU